rnacentral:misc_RNA from 1 species
AAAUAUCAAUCUUGACUUGGGCUUUGUGCACGAGUCUAGGCUUGGAUGUGGGUGCUUGCCGCUUUAACACGCGGCUCACCUUAAAUGUAUUAGCUGGAUCAGUCUUUGAGACUUGGUUUGACUUGGCGUAAUAAGUAUUUCGCUAAGGACAUUCUUCGGAAUGGCCUCGUUUCUGUGACACCUGUCCGCUUUCCAAUACGAGUUCCAGAAAUGGACAUGACUUUUUAUC